UUUACCCUCUGGCAAGAAGGUUGUGACCUGUAAAUGGGUUUUUGCCAUCAAAGUCAAUCUAGAUAGUUUCAUAGCAAGGCUUAAGGCCCGUCUUGUCGCCAAAGAUUAUGUCCAAACCUAUGGCGUUGACUAUUCUAACACUUUUUCUCCUGUGGCAAAAAUGACAUUAGUUCGCUUGUUCAUCUCCCUUGCUGCUUCUCAGCAUUAGCCUUUACACCAGUGAGAUAUCAAGGAUGCAUUUUUAUAUGGUGACCUCCAAGAGGAGGUGUAUAUGGAGCAACCACCAGAGUUUGUUGCUCAAAGGAAGUAUGGGAAAGUCUGCUGUUUGAAUAAAUCUUUGUAUGGUUUGAAGCAGAGUUCCCUGUGUAUGGUUGGCAAGUUCAGUGAAGUUGUUCAAAAUUUGGAUUGAAAAAAAAAAGUGUGACCAUUCAGUCUUCUAUAGAAAUUCAGAUACUAGUAUUAUUCUCCUUGUUGUGUAUGUUGAUGAUAUUUCAUUACAGAGAAUGAUAGUACAAGGAUCUCUUCUCUCAAAAAUUACUUGCAUGAGAGUUUUCAUACCAAAGACUUGGGCCAGCUUAAGUAUUUCUUAGGAGUCAAAAUCUUGAGGAGUCGAAGUCUUGAGGAGUAAAAGAGAAAUUUUCCUGUCUCAAAGGAAGUAUAUCCUUGACUUACUUGCAGAAACUGGAAAGAUGGGAGCUAAACCAUGUAGCACACCAAUGAUUUCUAAUAUAAUAUAUGUCUUACAAAGGAUGACAGAGACCCUUAUGAUGAUCCAGAGAGGUAUAGGAGGUUGGUUGGAAAGUUGAACUACCUUAUGGUGAUGAUCCGGUCAAAUAUUACAUUUGCAGUAAACGUUGUAAGUCAGUUCAUGUCUGCACCUGUGAAACAUUGGAUCUAGAAUUUCAUGUCUGCACCUGUGAAACAUUGGACCGCUCUAGAACAAAUUCUAUGUUAUCUAAAAGGGACUCAUGGACUCGGUAUACUCUAUAGUGAUUAUGGGCAUACUGCACUUGAGUAUUUUUCUGAUGCUGACUGGGCGAGACCCAAAAGUGAUAGAAGGUCGACUACAGGCUAUUGUGUAUUUAUUGGAAGAAACCUAGUGUCUUGAAAA
rnacentral:lncRNA from 1 species